rnacentral:rRNA from 1 species
AACCUUUACAAUGCGCGCAAGCGCGAUAAGGGAAUCCGAAGUGCUACAGUUUUUGCUGUGGCUUUUUCUAAGAGUAAAUAUCUUAGAGAAUAAGUGGUGGGCAAGACCGGUGCCAGCCGCCGCGGUAACACCGGCGCCACGAGUGGUGACCACAUUUAUUGGGCCUAAAGCGUCCGUAGCAGGUUUCGUAAGUUCUUUGUGAAAUCGCAUUGCUUAACUUUGCGGCGUGCAAAGAAUACUGCGUUACUAGGAACUGGGAGGAGUAAGAAGUAUUUCGGGGCCAGCGGUGAAAUGUGUUGAUCCCCGAAGGACUACCAAUGGCGAAGGCAUCUUACUAGAACAGGUUCGACUGUGAGGGACGAAAGCUGGGGGAGCAAACCGG